AGUGAACGCUGGCGGCAGGCCUAACACAUGCAAGUCGAGCGGCAGCGCGUCCGACCACCCUCGGGUGGUCGGAUGGCGGCGAGCGGCGGACGGGUGAGGAAUGCAUCGGAAUCUGCCUCGUUGUGGGGGGAUAACGUAGGGAAACUUACGCUAAUACCGCAUACGACCUACGGGUGAAAGUGGGGGACCUUCGGGCCUCACGCGAUGAGAUGAGCCGAUGCCGGAUUAGCUAGUUGGCGGGGUAAAGGCCCACCAAGGCGACGAUCCGUAGCUGGUCUGAGAGGAUGAUCAGCCACACUGGAACUGAGACACGGUCCAGACUCCUACGGGAGGCAGCAGUGGGGAAUAUUGGACAAUGGGGGCAACCCUGAUCCAGCCAUGCCGCGUGUGUGAAGAAGGCCUC
rnacentral:rRNA from 1 species